rnacentral:rRNA from 1 species
AGCGGAAGGCCCUUCGGGGUACUCGAGCGGCGAACGGGUGAGUAACACGUGAGCAACCUGCCCUAGGCUUUGGGAUAACCCUCGGAAACGGGGGCUAAUACCGAAUAUUCACUUGCGGACGCAUGUUUGUGGGUGGAAAGUUUUUCGGCUUGGGAUGGGCUCGCGGCCUAUCAGCUUGUUGGUGGGGUGAUGGCCUACCAAGGCGACGACGGGUAGCCGGCCUGAGAGGGCGACCGGCCACACUGGGACUGAGACACGGCCCAGACUCCUACGGGAGGCAGCAGUGGGGAAUAUUGCACAAUGGGCGGAAGCCUGAUGCAGCGACGCCGCGUGAGGGAUGACGGCCUUCGGGUUGUAAACCUCUUUCAGCAGGGACGAAGCGCAAGUGACGGUACCUGCAGAAGAAGCGCCGGCCAACUACGUGCCAGCAGCCGCGGUAAGACGUAGGGCGCGAGCGUUGUCCGGAUUUAUUGGGCGUAAAGAGCUCGUAGGCGGCUUGUCGCGUCGACUGUGAAAACCCGUGGCUCAACUGCGGGCCUGCAGUCGAUACGGGCAGGCUAGAGUUCGGUAGGGGAGACUGGAAUUCCUGGUGUAGCGGUGAAAUGCGCAGAUAUCAGGAGGAACACCGGUGGCGAAGGCGGGUCUCUGGGCCGAUACUGACGCUGAGGAGCGAAAGCGUGGGGAGCGAACAGGAUUAGAUACCCUGGUAGUCCACGCUGUAAACGUUGGGCGCUAGGUGUGGGGGGCCUCUCCGGUUCUCUGUGCCGCAGCUAACGCAUU